GCCAUAUGAUGUGAAUGGAUUUUCAUGAACUGUGAUGAUGACUCUUAUCUAUCACCCAAUAACUGAUGGCU